rnacentral:tRNA from 1 species
CAGAUUAUACUUAGGUUAACAUUAUUAUUUACAUUAAUAAUUCAUUUGUGCAAUUCAAAUUAAUCUGA